GCUUGCUUCAGCUGCACAUACAUUUACUAAAACUGGGACACUACAGAAAAGAUUAGCAUGUCCCUUGCACAAAGAUGGCAUGCAAAUUUAUGAAGCAUUCUAUAUUUUA